UACGUAGGGGGCAAGCGUUGUCCGGAAUCAUUGGGCGUAAAGAGCGUGUAGGCGGCUCGGUAAGUCCGCUGUGAAAGUCCAGGGCUCAACCCUGGAAUGCCGGUGGAAACUGUCGAGCUAGAGUCCGGAAGAGGCGAGUGGAAUUCCUGGUGUAGCGGUGAAAUGCGCAGAUAUCAGGAGGAACACCAAUGGCGAAGGCAGCUCGCUGGGACGGUACUGGACGCUGAGACGCGAAAGCGUGGGGAGCAAACAGGAUAGAA
rnacentral:rRNA from 1 species